rnacentral:rRNA from 1 species
AGCCCGGGGAUGGUAGAUUUCGGGUGAAGCCUGCCCAGUGCUGGAAAUUAAAGUUAACGGCCGCAGUAUUUUGACUGUGCUAAGGUAGCAAAAUAAUUUGGCUUUUAAAUGGAGUCGGGAAUGAAUGGAUUUAUGGGGUGAAGCUGUCUCUAUUGCAUUAAUUUUAACUUACUUACUAGGUGAAAAUACCUAGAUCAAGAAAAAAGACGAGAAGACCCUAGGAGUUUUGAUUAAAAAUUAUUUUAAUAAUUUGAAUUUUUGUUGGGGCGACAAUGGAGUAAUAGCGACGUAAAUUAAACCUCCAUUUACGGAUUUGCCGACUUUGUAUGUAAAAUUAAACUACCCUAGGGAUAACAGCGUAAUUUUUUUUAAGCUUGCGACCUCGAUGUUGGACUAGGAAUUGAGUAGGUUAGCCGCCUACUUUUAUGGUUCUGUUCGAACUAAAUUUCCU